CGAGGAGAAGAGCGGCGCCGGUCUGCAGGGUCUGGAAACAGGAGCGGGGUACAUGCUGCAAGCUUCCCACAUGGAUGCACUGCUUCCGAGAAGCUACAGAUGUGAAGAAGACCAACCAGAAUACAAUGCAAAGGCUGAGGGAAGGAAUGUACCCAUGAUUCAACAUUUUUACCCAGGUUACACUUCACCAAAGCAACUCCUAUGCUUGAGACUUCAGGGAGAAGAGCAGCCAUUACACUGUCAGCUGCCUUGUGGAAUAGUUUUUUUAGGGCAAUCUGCGUUUUUACAUAUAUAUCAUAUUUUUUUACACUGACUACAAUAAUGGAGCCUUUUUCUGACCAGAUUGUGAUGUUCAUCAAGUUGAAUCCCGGCCGCCCACAAUCUGAGCAUGGGUCACUUUCCGACCGGAGGCAUGUCAAAUCCAUUUCAAAUUGAAUAUGUUGAAUUCAGUGCUCGGGAAGGAGGGUAUCGACAGUCGAAUGCCGUCGAAGCGGAAAACUGUCGAAUCCACUACGGGUUUUGAAACCAAUUUAAUGGUGAUGUUUACAAAAGCGACAGAAUAUUGCGGCAGAUUACAAUUUAAAUUCUGAUACACAAUACUAAUCUAUAAGAAACUAAUACCAUGUCAGUCACAUUAACUUAAUUCAUUGUCAGAUAAUUAUUUUAAAAUGUAAUAAAUAGAAACAGUAUAUUUUAUGUGUAAUACUGCGGCACAUAAAAAUGUAUAAUCACCAUAUGCAAUUAUGACUUUUUUUAUUUUGUGAUAAAAAUUCAGUGAUCAUGUGAGGCGUAGCAAACAUUGCAGCCAGUGGGUGGGUACACUGACAUUACACACGUUAAUAGUAGAGUGCCGGUCCCUCUCUCUACUCACUUAAUUUAGCCAUUCCUUCUUCACACAGAUGAAGCAAGCAACACCGAUCCUACUUCCUCCCACCCAUUUUUCAUGAGUGCUUCAUUCACCACAGCUUAGUCUUCGCUGUGAUACUGUGAGGUGAAUUGCUGGCCUAGUCCAAUUCUGAUGUGAUCUGCUAUAAAAAAGGAAGAUAGGAUUCUUUUGCUGAGGCGAUAGAGCAGGGAUGGGGAACCUUCGGCCCUCCUGCUGUUGUUGAACUACA